CUACGGGGGGCAGCAGUGGGGAAUAUUGGACAAUGGGGGAAACCCUGAUCCAGCAAUGCCGCGUGUGUGGAGAAGGCCUGCGGGUUGUAAAGCACUUUCGGUUGGGAGGACUGCUUCUAGCACUAAUAUUGUUGGAAGUUGACGUUACCUUCAGAAGAAGCACCGGCUAACUCCGUGCCAGCAGCCGCGGUAAUACGGCGGGUGCAAGCGUUAAUCGGAAUUACUGGGCGUAAAGCGCGCGUAGGCGGCUAGAUCAGUCGGGUAUGAAAGCCCCGGGCUUAACCUGGGAACUGCAUCCGAUACUGUCUAGCUUGAGUACAGGAGAGGAGAGUGGAAUUCCACAUGUAGCGGUGAAAUGCGUAGAUAUGUGGAGGAACACCAAUGGCGAAGGCAGCUCUCUGGCCUGAUACUGACGCUGAGGUGCGAAAGCGUGGGGAGCAAACAGGAUUAGAUACCCCAGUAGUC
rnacentral:rRNA from 1 species